UUCCAAAUUUAUUUGUAAAUUUUUGUAAAUAUAUUGUCUUUAAAACAUCUUUGCAGACUGUCCUGGACUGUUUUUUUUUUUGUUUUUUUUUAGGUCUGGUGAACUCUAUCACCAGCUCUUUGGUGUUGGUGUUCAGGAGAAGAGCCUUCUAAUAAUAUUUAUUCAACUUAUAGAAUUAAAGUUCUGCUAGUUUUUUUCUGUAGCAAAUAAAUAUUGUAUAAAAUAUUUAAAAUUACCUACAUUUUCGAUGUUUAUAAUGCCCAUUGUGUGUAAUACUGGAAUUUCCUACUACCCGUGAACGCCUCAUCUUUUACCUGACUGGCUGACAUCUGCCUCUCUGCACACUUUGUUGAGUCCGCUCUCGAGUGAAAUAAAGCUUGGUUUUGCCUGUGCUGAUUGAUAAAACGACACAUCACCUUAAUAAAGACGGAAAUCUUUAAUAAGAGUGAAACAGAACUUCGGUUUUGCCUUUGCUGAGUGAACAGAUCUUUGGCUUUGCCUUUGCUGGUGACCUGCUGCAGAAGAUCCUCUCUCUCUAUCAUUAUAAGCAAUUCUGUCUAUCCUAUCACUCUCCCAACUCUAUCUAAUUUGACAGCCAUUCUAUCUUGUAUCCCUCUAUCCCUACUGCUCUAUCUAAUUUGACAGCCAUUCUAUCUUGUAUCCCUCUAUCUCUACUGCUCUAUCUAAUUUGACAGCCAUUCCAUCUUGUAUCCCUCUAUCUCUACUGCUCUAUCUAAUUUGACAGCCAUUCCAUCUUGUAUCCCUCUAUCCCUACUGCUCUAUCUAAUUUGACAGCCAUUCUAUCUUGUAUCCCUCUAUCUCUACUGCUCUAUCUAAUUUGACAGCCAUUCCAUCUUGUAUCCCUCUAUCUCUACUGCUCUAUCUAAUUUGAGAAUCCAAGUUUUCAGAAAUCCAAGUUUUCAGAAUCCAAGUUUUCAGAAAUCCAAGUUACCAGUACUUGAUCUAUCUGUUACAGAAUUCUGAGAGAUCUCUGCUCUCACUGCUCCUUCUUUCCUGUCAUUAAGCUCUCUCACAUUCAGUCAUUUUGCUGGAAAUUACAAGUUGAAUAUACAGUAGUAGAACUUAUAGUAGAAACUACUUACACAGCCCUACAUUUGUCAUUUUAAUUUUGCAUUAGACUUUAGUUUGGACUGUUAGUUUGGCUUACUUUGAUCAAUUGUAUAAAAUAUCACCUUUUUAUAAGUUUAUUUGUAAUAAGAUAAUCUGGUUAUUUUGUAAUACAUACAUUCAGAUAAAUAAUAAAUUAGAUCCAGUCUGUUAGUCUAUUUCAUUGGCUAUAACAUUUGACUGCAAGUUUAUAGUAUUAUUAUUUAAGGACAAACCCAUUUUGUCACUCACCUCAGCGCCUGAGGACCCAGACUUCCUGUUUUCUGACUGCUGCAGAAAAUCCAGCUGAAGAAUCCUCAUCGCCUGUCAUCUUAUCACCACACCACCAAAGCUCCAUAUAUUUGAUUUAAAUUUUAGAUAUCUGAAAGAUUUACAUAAACUCCCCUAAGAGCUAAGACUUUUAUUAUAGCCUGUUGAUUGUUGAGAUUUAUUCUGCAUAUCAUUUUACAGAAGUUGUAAUUAUUUACCAGUCUGGUUAAAAAAAUAUAAGUAAAAUUAUACAGUUUCUAAAAGAGCUACAAUAAAACGGACCAAAUUGUUUCCAGAGAACUUUGAAUUUCCUUUAUUUUGAGUUUGGAGUACAAAUCAGCUUAACGUCUAUUUAUAUAUUCAUAAAAACAUUUUAAAGUAGUAUAAUAGUACAUUUCUCAGAUUUAACAGUAACUUGAGGAGUUUUACGUUUUUCUGUGUUUCAAGGUUGAGUUUUGUUUACAUUUGUGUAUAACCACAUAUAAGCUCCAGGUUGUACUUCAGCAAAAUGCCAAGAAAAGGUCAAAGGUCGCAGUCCCAGAAGCUUAGACGUCAGAAGGAGAAAGAACAGGUGAAUGUUUCUCAGAGCAGUGAGCAGGUAAAGGUGUGUGUUUCAACUUUUCCCAGCACAGAAGUGCAGAGCAGUGUUCAGACAGCCACAGUGUCUUAUGCAGAUGUGGUAAAGAGAGGUGUUCCCUCAGUGUCUGUCCCAGAGCCUGAAGUUAUUCAGGUAAUCCAGACUGAACCCCAGGUUACUGAACAAACACAGCAUGAUGGAGAGACAGCCACAGUGUCUUAUGCAGAUGUGGUAAAGAGAGGUGUUCCCUCAGUGUCUAUCCCAGAGCCUGAAGUUAUGCAGGUAAUCCAGACUGAACCCAAGCUAACUGUACAAACACAGCAUGAUGGACAAGCUCCAGUACAGUCUCAUGUACAGGUUACAAACAGUGAAAGUCGUCCACGAGUGAGUAGUAUCUGUGCAUCCCGAAGCCAGGCCUCUCCUAAGUAUGGAAAGUACCGUAAUCAGCAAUGCAUGGCUAACAGUUUGAUUUUCCUGUCAUUCUUACACGAGGAUGAAUUCAUUACCAAAGCAGAUCUUAACCGUGUGUUGGACAAAG